CCCGAAUCGAUUGCCGGAACAACACAAACACAAAGCGAUGAAUUCCGGCUGUCGGCCGUGGACUCUCAUAGCAAACAAUUUCAUUGCCUGAAAAAAACAAAGAAGAUAAUUAAAGGUCCUGGUGGAAGAGGUUGCAGAUGAAGUUGAGUGAUAGAAGAAAUAGCCAUUGUGGAUGCCAUUCAGCUAGUAUAGAUUCUACAGUAAAAGAUGCAUGAUGAAGGAUUGGAGACUUGUCAUGCUGCUGUUCUCACUCACCAAAGCUGGUGUUCUUUGUUUCUGGUGCUCUCUUUCGGUUGGAUUGCUGGGGCUUGGUGCAUCUGGAUCCACCAUGACCUUGUAAAAUCGUCAGG